rnacentral:rRNA from 1 species
UGGGACAAGCCCUGGAAACGGGGUCUAAUACCGGAUAACACUGCGGAUCGCAUGGUCUGCGGUUGAAAGCUCCGGCGGUGAAGGAUGAGCCCGCGGCCUAUCAGCUUGUUGGUGGGGUGAUGGCCUACCAAGGCGACGACGGGUAGCCGGCCUGAGAGGGCGACCGGCCACACUGGGACUGAGACACGGCCCAGACUCCUACGGGAGGCAGCAGUGGGGAAUAUUGCACAAUGGGCGAAAGCCUGAUGCAGCGACGCCGCGUGAGGGAUGACGGCCUUCGGGUUGUAAACCUCUUUCAGCAGGGAAGAAGCGAAAGUGACGGUACCUGCAGAAGAAGCGCCGGCUAACUACGUGCCAGCAGCCGCGGUAAUACGUAGGGCGCAAGCGUUGUCCGGAAUUAUUGGGCGUAAAGAGCUCGUAGGCGGCUUGUCGCGUCGGAUGUGAAAGCCCGGGGCUUAACCCCGGGUCUGCAUUCGAUACGGGCAGGCUAGAGUGUGGUAGGGGAGAUCGGAAUUCCUGGUGUAGCGGUGAAAUGCGCAGAUAUCAGGAGGAACACCGGUGGCGAAGGCGGAUCUCUGGGCCAUUACUGACGCUGAGGAGCGAAAGCGUGGGGAGCGAACAGGAUUAGAUACCCUGGUAGUCCACGCCGUAAACGUUGGGAACUAGGUGUUGGCGACNUUCCACGUCGUCGGUGCCGCAGCUAACGCAUUAAGUUCCCCGCCUGGGGAGUACGG